UUCCCUCUAUAAUCUGUAAUCAACCUCGCUGACACAUCUCAUAAUCUAUACAAAGACGUGCGUGUCGAAAGUUCAGUGUUCAGUGCAAAUAUUCUUUAUCAGUGAUUCUUUAUCAGUAUAUAAUGGAAGAGAAUAAGCGAGACGAGGAGAUUAUAAACAAAAACAUCGAGGAAAAAAACCUACGUUAAUAUUGAUGUUCAGACCGAGAAGGAGCCAUCUGCGGAUGUCGCAAUGUGGCAUAUGAUAGAGACGGGAAUGGGGCUGAAAAUUCCCAUAUAUUUAAAAAAUUUCUUGCGAUUUGAAGGAUAUGACACACCCAUCACCAUACAGAAUAUAUCAACAGAAAAUAUUGAAGAGUUGGAACUUUUUGGCAGGAAUGAAAUGUUCAAGUUCAUAAAAAAAGACGAGAAUUACUACAAUUAUUUCGACAAAUAUUAUUGCUGUCCUAGAAAAACCUCGGAAAAAUUUAUCAAGCAAGUAAAUCUCAAGAUGAAGACUCGCCGAGUUCCUCGCAACAUAUCAAUAGUGGAUCCGAUAUUAAUUUGAACACGGAGCACGAUAGUAUUUAUGCUUUAAUAAUGACAUGGUUGAAAAACCAAAUCAAAGUAAAUAAGCAAGUCGAAAAGCAAGUUGUCAAGAAUUUUUUGCCUGCUUCUGUGGAAAUGGCUAUCGUUGAAGAAAAAAUAAAUAUUGUACGUAAAUUAUCUUUUCCUAAUAUUGAUGCCAAAGGAUUUUAUUUAUUCUCUCCACAGGAACUUGCAACUUACAAUUUAGGAUAAGUUUUAAAUAAUAUUAUUUUUUAUUUUG